CCUACGGGCGGCAGCAGUGGGGGAUAUUGCACAAUGGGGGGAACUCUGAUGCAGCGACGCCGCGUGGGGGAAGGAGGGCUUCGGCAUGUAAAGCCCUAUCGGCAGGGAAGAAGAAAGACGGUACCUGACUAAUAAGCUCCGGCUAACUACGUGCCAGCAGCCGCGGUAAUACGUAGGGGGCGAGCGUUAUCCGGAUUCACUGGGUGUAAAGGGAGCGUAGACGGACAUGCAAGCCAGGGGUGAAAGCCCGGGGCGCAACCCCGGGACUGCCCUUGAAACUGCAUGGCUGGAGUGCGGGAGGGGAAAGCUGAAUUCCUGGUGUAGCGGUGAAAUGCGUAGAUAUUAGGAGGAACACCAGUGGCGAAGGCGACUUACUGGACUGUAACUGACGUUGAGGCUCGAAAGCGUGGGGAGCAAACAGGAUUAGAUACCCUAGUAGUC
rnacentral:rRNA from 1 species